ensembl:miRNA
AUUACCUGAGGAUCUUGUUAAAAUGCAGAUUCUAAUUUAGUAGGGCUGAGGUGGGCUUGAGAUUCUGCAUUUCUAACAAGCUCCCAGGUGAUGCCAGU